rnacentral:sRNA from 1 species
UUCUCAUUCAUGGUUUUGGUUAUAGAUUUCAAUUAAUUCACACACACACGACAUCAUCCAACCUGUAAAUUGUGGUAAUUCUGGAACCAAUUAUAGAGGAUAGGUCUCAAUUUGUUCUGCAUUAAGGGCACACUGUAAAUGGGAGACCAGGCCAUACGGAGAGCAGAUAUCCAGUGCUCAUGAAAUUGAUGAACUGAGACCUGCUGGUAGUUCUGACUACACCAUCUGGAAUUCUAGUCUGGGGUUAUGCAGAAAGCUUCUGACCCUAGAUUCAACUUUUAACUUGGG